GAUGAACGCUGGCGGCGUGCCUAAUACAUGCAAGUCGAGCGAACAGACGAGGAGCUUGCUCCUCUGACGUUAGCGGCGGACGGGUGAGUAACACGUGGAUAACCUACCUAUAAGACUGGGAUAACUUCGGGAAACCGGAGCUAAUACCGGAUAAUAUAUUGAACCGCAUGGUUCAAUAGUGAAAGACGGUUUUGCUGUCACUUAUAGAUGGAUCCGCGCCGCAUUAGCUAGUUGGUAAGGUAACGGCUUACCAAGGCGACGAUGCGUAGCCGACCUGAGAGGGUGAUCGGCCACACUGGAACUGAGACACGGUCCAGACUCCUACGGGAGGCAGCAGUAGGGAAUCUUCCGCAAUGGGCGAAAGCCUGACGGAGCAACGCCGCGUGAGUGAUGAAGGUCUUCGGAUCGUAAAACUCUGUUAUUAGGGAAGAACAAAUGUGUAAGUAACUAUCCACGUCUUGAUGGUACCUAAUCAGAAAGCCACGGCUAACUACGUG
rnacentral:rRNA from 1 species